rnacentral:misc_RNA from 1 species
AAAAAAAACAAAAACUUCAAAAUGCAUGCUUUGAUUGAAUUUCAUAGUAUUUAAAGUUAGUUCCUGUUGUGCAUUUAUGCUGCUUGCUGCUGCUUUGUUUUUUCCUGCAUGAGAAUAUUUGUUUUUGGUAACAAUAAGUUGGUUUAUAUAUGUGCUAUUCUUUUUAUUCUAGUCAUCACCUUCCCUGAUAAUAUGCAUGUGAGAAAAGCUUAGGCGAGCUUUUUAGUGAUCAGAAAUAUCUAAAGCAAAACAUCAUUAUCUGUUUCAGUAAUGCUGCAGUGAAAAUGCUUGUACAAUCUUAAUAAAUUGAUUAAAAGGACAACCUUUUGUAGCCAGGCAAAAUAACUCUCUUUUGCCAACUCUUUCGGC